rnacentral:rRNA from 1 species
CAAUAGCGUAUAUUAAAGUUGUUGCGGUUAAAAAGCUCGUAGUUGGAUUUCUGCCGAGGACGUCCGGUCCGCCCUCUGGGUGUGUACAUGGUACGGCCUGGGCAUCUUCUUGGAAAACGUAUCUGCACUUGACUGUGUGGUGCGGUAUCCAGGACUUUUACUUUGAGGAAAUUAGAGUGUUUCAAGCAGGCCUACGCCUUGAAUACAUUAGCAUGGAAUAAUAAGAUAGGACCUCGGUUCUAUUUUGUUGGUUUCUAGAGCUGAGGUAAUGAUUAAUAGGGAUAGUUGGGGGCAUUCGUAUUUAACUGUCAGAGGUGAAAUUCUUGGAUUUGUUAAAGACGAACUACUGCGAAAGCAUUUGCCAAGGAUGUUUUCAUUG